ACCUCGAUGUUGGAUCAGGACAUCCAAAUGGUGCAACCGCUAUUAAAGGUUCGUUUGUUCAACGAUUAAAGUCCUAUGUGAUCUGAGUUCAGACCGGAGAAAUCCAGGUU
rnacentral:ncRNA from 1 species